rnacentral:rRNA from 1 species
GGUCCGAGUUGUAAUUUGUAGAGGGCACUUCGGGCGCGCGACCGGCCUAAGUUCCUUGGAACAGGGCGUCAGAGAGGGUGAGAAUCCCGUACGUGGCCGGCCGUCACCCCGUGUGAAGUCCCUUCGACGAGUCGAGUUGUUUGGGAAUGCAGCUCAAAAUGGGUGGUAAAUUCCAUCUAAAGCUAAAUACCGGCCAGAGACCGAUAGCGCACAAGUAGAGUGAUCGAAAGAUGAAAAGCACUUUGAAAAGAGAGUCAAACAGUAUGUGAAAUUGUUGAAAGGGAAGCGCCGGCAACCAGACGUGCCCGCGGGCGAUCACCCGGCCUUCGGGUCGGCGCACUCGCCCGCGAUCAGGCCAGCAUCGGUUUCGACGGCCGGACAAAGGCGCGCGGGAACGUAGCUCCUCUCGGGGAGUGUUAUAGCCCGCACCGCAAUGCGGCCAGCCGGGACCGAGGACCGCGCUUCGGCUAGGAUGCUGGCGUAAUGGUUGUCAGCGACCCGUCUUGAAACACGGACCAAGGAGUCUAACAUCUAUGCCGAGUGUUUGGGCGUGAAACCCAUGCGCGGAAUGAAAGUGAACGGAGGUGGGAGCCCCGGCGCACCAUCGACCGAUCCUGAUGUCUUCGGAUGGAUUUGAGUAGGAGCAUAGCUGUUGGGACCCGAAAGAUGGUGAACUAUACGUGAAUAGGGUGAAGCCAGAGGAAACUCUGGUGGAGGCUCGCAGCGGUUCUGACGUGCAAAUCGAUCGUCAAAUUUGCGUAUAGGGGCGAAAGACUAAUCGAACCGUCUAGUAGCUGGUUCUUGCCGAAGUUUCCCUCAGGAUAGCAGUAACGUUUUCAGUUUUAUGAGGUAAAGCGAAUGAUUAGAGGCCUUGGGGUUGAAACAACCUUAACCUAUUCUCAAACUUUAAAUAUGUAAGAAGUCCUUGUUACUUUGUUGAACGUGGACAUUCGAAUGUACCGUUACUAGUGGGCCAUUUUUGGUAAGCAGAACUGGCGAUGCGGGAUGAACCGAACGCGAGGUUAAGGUGCCGGAAUGGACGCUCAUCAGACACCACAAAAGGUGUUAGUUCAUCUAGACAGCCGGACGGUGGCCACGGAAGUCGGAAUCCGCUAAGAAGUGUGUAAAAACUUACCGGCCGAAUGAACUAGCCCUGAAAAUGGAUGGCGCUCAAGCGUCCUACCCAUACCUCGCCGUCAGGGUAGACACGAUGCCCUGACGAGUAGGCAAGCGUGGAGGUCCGUGACGAAGCCUCGGGCGUGAGCCCGGGUCGAACGGCUUCUAGUGC